CAGCAGCCACGGUAAUACGAAGGGGGCUAGCGUUGCUCGGAAUGACUGGGCGUAAAGGGCGCGUAGGCGGCGGCCAAAGUCAGGCGUGAAAUUCCCGGGCUCAACCUGGGGGCUGCGUUUGAUACUUGGUUGCUUGAGUGGGGAAGAGGGUCGUGGAAUUCCCAGUGUAGAGGUGAAAUUCGUAGAUAUUGGGAAGAACACCAGUGGCGAAGGCGGCGACCUGGUCCUUUACUGACGCUGAGGCGCGAAAGCGUGGGGAGCAAACAGGAUUAGAUACCCGCGUAGUCCCUGUCUCUUAUAC
rnacentral:rRNA from 1 species